rnacentral:lncRNA from 1 species
UACACACUACCAUGCCUUAUUACCGUGAUCUUUCUGCCAGCGCAUUGUAUUAGCUGCAGCCAGAGCUUACCAAUUACACCAGUUGCAACGCUCCCCACAGACCCGUCACUUCAGCACCCAGACACACUUGGAGAAAAGCAUAGUGUUUUUAUUUGUGGCACCUAUGUACGAAAAAACUGUCAAGCUCCACUUCUCCAUCACUGCUACAAGAAAAAAAAAGUUUAAACAUUUUCAAGCAAAGUAUUUUUAAGUCGGGAUUUGCCAUUUUUUUAGCAUGUUUACCGGACAAUGGGUGACAUCUAAACAAAACUUCAUUUUUCCGCUCAAUUAAGCCUCACAUAUUGACUCGAAAAGCAUGCCCGGAGUUUUGGAACUGGUGAGAUUGAAGAACUCUGGUGACAGCAUUGUUGAAUCACUGUUGUGUGGUGAACAGAGUGGCUUGCUGUCCUUGCAGAACAAAGAGAGCCAGAAGAAGAAACACCCAUUUGAGAGUUCAGAUGACUACGUUGGAUGGCUUCCUCCAGAAGGCCAGUCUGGGGAUGGCAAGACACACCUCAACGCCAAGUAUGGGUACUAAGCCAGCGCCAGGUUGGAGAGGCAUGGUGGCUACAUCGUCGUGCAUGCACGUUCAUUUCACAUCACCUUUCGCGAAGAUGCCUGUGUAAAUAGCAGUCGAAAAGAAUAAAGACACUCUUGUUGA